CCUACGGGGGGCAGCAGUGGGGAAUAUUGCACAAUGGGGGAAACCCUGAUGCAGCGACGCCGCGUGAGUGAAGAAGUAUUUCGUUAUGUAAAGCCCUAUCAGCAGGGAAGAAAAUGACGGUAUCUGAGUAAGAAGCCCCGGCUAACUCCGUGCCAGCAGCCGCGGUAAUACGUAGGGGGCAAGCGUUACUCGGAUUUACUGGGCGUAAAGGGAGCGUAGACGGGAGAGCAAGUCUGGAGUGAAAGGCGGGGGCUCAACCACCGGACUGCUCUGGAAACUGUUCGGCUGGAGUGCAGGAGAGGUAAGUGGAAUUCCUAGUGUAGCGGUAAAAUGCGUAGAUAUUAGGAGGAACACCAGUGGCGAAGGCGGCUUACUAGACUGUAACUGACGUUGAGGCGCGAAAGCGUGGGGAGCAAACAGGAUUAGAUACCCGUGUAGUC
rnacentral:rRNA from 1 species